AUGAGAGCAGAUUUUUAUUCUGACCUCCCAAUUUCGGUUAAACCAAAAUUUAUUAGUGUCUGCUUCCGGUUCGCGGUCGUCUCCGCUUCGAGCCGGCACCCGCUCGGUCCGUAUCCGAAGCAUGCCGCUGGUUCGAAUUCCUUUCUUGUCCGAUUAAAUCCUCAAUUUCUAUCAUCACUUCUCAGUCCAGAUCACGGCCCAAAACUCUCCUCUCUUCUUGUUUUUCCUUCUUGGGAUCUCCGUAAUCGCCCAAAACCUUCCUCAUCCCAUGCUCUAACCUCAUUACCUUCUUCUCUAUUCAAAUCACGCAAACUAAUUCCAUAGAAAUCCUUAUAGCUUUUUUACCCCUUGAUCGUGUUAGAUUGACAAAAAAAAAAAAGUUAUAUAUGAUUUUUAUUGGGCUUAUGGUGCUUCAUAACAUUAAGGAGGAUCAAUGAAAAGAGAAUUCGGAGUCACAUGGGAAGCUUAGUUUAUAGAAAGAAUGAGGUUGGAUUCAUACAAGGUGUUUGUGCAAUUGUCUUAAAGGGAAGCUGGUCUAAUUUGUCGAACACUCAUAUCAGUCAUUGCCUCACCACCUCGAAUGUGAACCAGAUCUUGCUUCAGCUGUCGGCGGACACACCGCUCUCAUGGGCAUUCUUCAGGUGGAUGCAAUCUCUUCCCUACUACCAUCACUCCCUCCAGCCCAACUGGACCAUGGUCCACCUCCUCACCAAGAACAGGCAGUUCAAAGCUGCACGAGAAUUGCUCGAGAAGUUUGCUUUCAAGGAUUUCCUCUCAUCCCCAUCGGUGCUGAAUGCUUUGCUGAGCAGUUAUGAGGAUGCUGACUUGAAUUCUCAGAUCUUAAGUUGGCUUGUAAUUAUUUAUUCGCAGUCAAAGAUGACUCAGGAUGCAGUUCAGGUAUUUGAGCAAAUGAAGAGCAAUGGCUUGAGGCCAGAUCCGCAUGCUUGCAAUGCUCUCUUGAGUGCACUUGCAAAGGCUAGACUCACCGCCACUGCAUGGAAAGUAUACGACGAAAUGACUUGGAUGGGAGUAGUCCUAAAUAUCCACAUCUUUAAUGUUAUGAUCCAUGUUUGUUACAAGUCAGGUGAUGUUGAGAAGGCUGAAAAUUUGGUGAAUAAGAUGGAGCGGAGGGGUAUCCGUCCCGAUCUAUUCUCUUAUAACACAUUGAUCUCAUUGUUUUGCAAGAAGGGAAUGCAUUAUGAGGCUUUGGCUGUUCGGGAGAGAAUGGAUAGAGAAGGGACCCAUCCGGAUAUUGUAACUUAUAAUUCUCUUAUUUAUGGGUUUUGUAAAGAAGGUAGAUUGAGGGAGGCAUCAAGGCUUUUUAAGGAAAUCAAGGGUGCCGGUCCUAACCAUGUCACUUACACCACUCUCAUCGAUGGCUACUGCAGAGUUAACAACCUUGAUGAGGCACUUUGUUUGCGUCAGGAAAUGGAGGCUAAAGGGUUGUAUCCUGGGGUAGCCACCUAUAAUUCAAUCAUUCGUAAGCUGUGCGAAGAAGGGAAAAUGAAAGCUGUUAAUGAUCUUCUGAAUGAGAUGGAUGAGAGGAAGGUUCAACCUGACAACAUCACAUGCAAUACCUUGAUUAAUGCUUAUUGCAAGAGAGGGAACAUGGCCUUUGCAUGGAAACUUAGGAAUAAGAUGUUGGAAUCAGGAUUGGCUCUAGACCAGUUUACCUACAAGGCUCUGAUCCAUGGCUUCUGCAAGGUCCAGGAGUUGGACGAAGCUAAAGAAGUCCUCUUUGAUAUGCUGGAUGCAGGACUAUCUCCAAAUUAUAGUACUUACUCAUGGCUUGUGGAUGCUUACUGCAACCAGAAUAAUGCAGAGGCAGUGUUAAGGAUCCCAGAUGAACUUGCUAAAAGAGGUCUUUCUGUGGAUAAGUCAGUGUACAGGGCUUUAAUUCGAAGAUUUUGUAAGUUGGGAUUGGUUGAUUUUGCAGAAAAAGUGUUUAUUCAGAUGCAAGGGAAGGGCUUCUCAGGUGACAGUCUUGUGUAUAUCACCCUUGCAUAUGCUUACUUGAGUGCAGGAAAACCAAUUACGGCUUCUGAAAUGUUAAAUGACAUGGCUAAGAAUCAACUAGUAAUAACUGUGCAAAUAUACAACUGCCUGAAUGCUUCUUGUGCCAAUGAGAAUGACAUCUUGGAGCUGCUUUGGAAUCAUGCCAGUGAAAGAGGUCUGAUUGCAAAGAAUGUUUACAAGUUGAGGCAACAAGCCAGGUCAAAAUCUUAAAGCAGUCAGAGAUGUAUGCAGUCCACAUCUAGCAGAUAUUUUUAUAUGGUUUUUACAUCAUUCAACAUUGUUUACAAGUGCAAAAUGUUGUUAUAAUUGUUGGAGCCUCUUCUUUCACCUUGUAAAUUAAUUGGUCCAUAAUUCAGUUUAUGAGGAUAUUGGGAAGUAUAUUCAAACCCAAUUUGAUCAAUUUGAACAUAAACUAAGUUGCAUGGUUUAGCAUGCUGAAGGCAAAUGAAAGUAUGACAUGGUUCAAGACUUAGAAAGUGAAGUGCUGAUAAAUCAAGGCAUUCUGAUUUUGACUUCAAGGAAAGGUGGAACCACAGGUUUAAUAACUGGUCCAAUGAAAUCAGCAUCAACCUAUCUCAAUUAUUGAUGCAGUGAAAAAAGAGCAUGUCCCAGUGCAUGAGACUCCCACUAUUGCUGGUUUGAGGGUCAAACAUACGAGCCUUACCCCUAAGUGUGGAGAGACUCUUCCGAGUUUUGAACAUGACAAACAGGUCAAAAUAGAGCAACCUUAAUGUUGCACCAGGGCCCACCCUCCAAUUAUGUGCAUCACAUGCCUGCAAGAUUGACAUGCAUGCUCCAUGAUUAGUUGAAUCCAAGCUUCUGGCUCUUGCUAAGGCAUUUCUUGGCAGAUGAGGACAGCAUAGCAAAAUAUGUUGUGAUCAUAUUGAAGUCAUGAACUUUUCUUUAUAUUGCAGCAAAGAUUGAUUUCUGAAAUUGUUAGUCACUACAGUAGUUUGUAUAGUUAGA